rnacentral:rRNA from 1 species
ACAGCAGUCGCCGCGGGAAUACGUAGGUGGCAAGCGUUGUCCGGAAUUAUUGGGCGUAAAGCGCGCGCAGGCGGAUAGGUCAGUCUGUCUUAAAAGUUCGGGGCUUAACCCCGUGAUGGGAUGGAAACUGCCAAUCUAGGGUAUCGGAGAGGAAAGUGGAAUUCCUAGUGUAGCGGUGAAAUGCGUAGAUAUUAGGAAGAACACCAGUGGCGAAGGCGGCUUUCUGGACUGUAACUGACGCUGAGGCUCGAAAGCCAGGGGAGCGAACGGGAUUAGAUACCCCCGUAGUCCCUGUCUCUUAUACA